GCGAACUCACCUGGAAACAGAAACAAACCCAAGCCGCAUCCAUUUCGCCUUGCGUGUCUUUGGAACUUGAUGUGAAAGGAGACUUUCAUUUUAAGCCAUAAGUUCAUUUCAACUCAGCAAUAAGGCACUGAGCAGUCACACACUUCUAAGAAAUUAUGCGGCACCUCAGAAACGCCAGGGACUGUUUGCUUGAGAAAAACUGCUUCUGAAACCACACGGCUUAGAUUUCCUUCACUUGCUAGAAUGAUAUGGGCAGAACAAAUUGCCUGCAAAUUGCAUGGUGUUACAGCCCAGACUGUGACACUGCUGCCAGGCUGCUUGUUAAAGACAGGAUUGACCCCAGCAUACCUGUGGCAGCCGCCUCGAAGAAUCAUCUGGGUCUCAGAGGCCCCGUUUACUGGUCUGGACAAACAUCUGCUUUGAGGAGACACUAAACUUCUUGCAAGAUUUCCCACAAGAAAGGCUAAAACCUAAAAACUAAGGCCAAGUUCUGGCCUUACUCCAGCAGCAUUUGGGGAUAUGAAUGAAAUGCAACAGCCCCAGGGAGGACCAUUCAUAUGCAGGCCCUGCUGAACCCCCAGGGAGCUCCCAGUCCAGAGUUGUGGUUGGACUAAAGGGGAAGGACGAGGUCUUGUCUUGAAUUGAUGACCAAUGAGUGAGCCAAAGGCCCAGAUCCAAACAUCCAUGCGAGGGCCAGGGAAAUUAACACAAAACUAAGAAACUUGGAGUAGGAACUAGAGGAAAGGCUGGACAGAAACCAGGUGAGGAGCUGGAUGCAAUACUGAGUUAAGGUCUAGGAAAGACAUAUUGAGCAACUGCUUCCCCAUAAUCUGCUCAUUUAUUUUAUGGCUGACUCUCAAGGGGCCUGCAAGGCAUGGCUGAGAUCUCACAGGGAGUUUUACAAAUAUACACUUGAUCUGAGCCUACAAGAGUCUUGGAAGCCCACAGGAGGCUACCCAGGGUUACAGCAAUUCCAAGGGCAGUUCUCACACACCAGGAGUCAUAUCAGCUCCCAGAACAGACAGAAUCCAGGAGGAAUGAAGAAACCUUAAAGUCAUCUUUAUCUUGGACUGCUGUGAACAACAGUGGCACUCAUACCUUGGCCUCCAGAACCACAUGAAAGCAGGGACUCCAGCAAGAUACCAUGCCAACCAGCUGGUGAACUCAGAACUCAAAGCACAUGUGAAGCUCCAGCAGAGACCUCACUUGCAUCCAGGAUCACGAUGAGGGUGGCAGUCCCCUUGCUGUGUGAUCCAGGAUCUAUACAUGUAUAUACGCACCCAUACUCACAGCUACGUAACUCUUUCAGAGGCAUUGCUUUCAAUUCAUACAUGACCUAAUAUGCAACCACCUUCCAAUCCCAAUCCCACUGUAACUCCCAUGGAGAAACAACAGGCAAAGCAUGUCUGUCAGUUCACAAGGGAGUCAGGCCUACUGGGUGGUGCCAGAAGUGAGGACUGGUGGGGAUGCACAGAUAACCUGUGGGUUGGGAGUAACCAAGGUCAACCCAAGCUCCAAACAGAGUUGCGGGGACCAAAGCUCAGAGUCCAAAACUGAACCAAAGGACAAACCAGAGAUCAGAGGUCAGGAAGCAGGCUGAGGUCAAACCAAAGUCCAAAACACCAAGCCAAAGGGUUAACCAAGAAUCAGACACCAGGAAGCAAGCCAAGAUCAAACUGAAUUCCAAACACGGAGCCAGAGGGUUAACCAGGAAUCAAGGGGUCAGAGGAAGAGUUACCAGCACUGGAGACACACAAGGAUUGGAGACCUAGUGGAUGCAGACAACCAUACAGAUAUCUCCGAUACAUUUCUUAAGGAAGCUUCUGACCUGGAGUGAACUCUCACUGAAUGAGGUUGCAAAGAAACUUGGUGAUGCCUGGUGGUGGACACAGAGGUUCAACAUAGCUCAGAAUCCAUCCAGAAGCAGAGAAGCCUUUGCUGAGGUUGUGUCUUGGUGGGGUAUAAAAACUAUCUUUUUAUAAUUUACUAAUAAGCCUAAGGGAUGAAACCUCAGAUGUUCCUGAGAUUUUCAUGCAUGUACUACAUUAAGUGACCUUGCAUCAGCUCCUUGCCCAAACACAGAAACCCUCAGAGACCCAAUCUUUUGACGUAAGGAACUAUAAUUGACAGGUACCUUAUGAACACACAGCUGUUGCAAAUCCAAAGGGAAGGAAGUGAUAUUGAUAAUGACAACUGCUUAUUAUGAAGCACAGGAGGAAUCUGUGGGCAGGAUGAAUGGCAAUAUGAAAAUAGGCAUCCUAAAGGUUGAAAGCAGCAGGCCACCCCUUUGGAUAUAGGGAUGGAAUGAUUAGUGGUAGAGACACUGUUCUGAACUUGGUGGUUCUGAAGUAAGCCUUCAAUUUUUUGCAAUGAAUACUUCCCGUCUUCUUUGGGAUAAAGAAUUAUCUGAAAUAAAACCCUCUCCCCUUUGAUAAUAUACCUUUUCUAUUACACCAAGAUUUAUGAAAGAUUUUGCUUCUAGUUUUAAUGUCCUCCAGUGAAAGGGGUCCCUCAAUGAGGAUGGGGAAAGGGAAUUAGGAGGUAAAGAAUGGAAUUGUAUCUUGUAGUGGCCUGUCAGAGGGUCCCCCAGUCACUCACUCACGUAAAUUAGGGUGGAUCAGGCAUGCUGGAAAAUGAGCUAACCCAUGGCCAAAGGAAGGGAAAAUAAUAGGGACAUCUGAAGCUAAAAGGGAGGCUGCUCUGUCUGAGGAGGAAGGAGGUAGCUGGAAAGCAGUGGAAGUUGUUGUAGAAUUUCUCCUUUUGGAAGUCUUUCAUCUUUUAUUCAAAGGCUUUGGUGGCCUAUGCUGGUGAUAUGAAGGCUGUCUGUGGUAUCCUUGAGAUCUAACAUGUUUUCACUCUGGGCCUAAGACAAAGACCCCUAAAGAUUUAAGACUUAUUUUUCAGUCCAUAAAAGAUCUUAAAACAUUAUCCAUUUUGUCACAAAACAGGUCACAGCCUUUGAACAGUAAAUCCCCUCUUGUUUGCAGUUUGUUGGGAAUACUAGAUAUAGCCAAGAGGAGCAAUGUGUAGUAACAGGGGUGGCCAUCACCAGACGGUUAUAGAGAAGUUUUGGAUAGCAACUGACCUUCAGCUAAAAUAGAUUUAAACUAAUCCCUGAACUCUGUUGGUAUCAUCUCAAAGUAAGGUAUGGCUGGUUUAUAUGGUCAUCUUUUGCUAGCAGCACUAGUGAAUAGCAGCAUUUGAAACCCAGAGAUUUCUGAUGUAACAGGAAGUCAGUACUGAAACAAAACUGUUUACAGAAUUAUAAACAUAAAGAUAAAAUGAAAUGGUCCUAGCCUAAACAACCUGGGCCCCAUAUACCCAAGGAACCAGUUUCUCUGUAAGAUCCCCAAGAUCAGCUGGGAGCAUUCUCUUAUUAGUAGCAUCAGUGAACCAAGCUCACUUGGCAAAAACACAUGGGAGGUCAUUCUCAGUAGUUGCUCUUCAGCUCUGGAACACCCUCCCCUUUGAGGCCCACCAGAGCCUGAUUCUGGACAUCUUCCAAAAAUGCUGUAAGUCCUUCCUCUUUGGACAGGCACUUGGCAAAGCCAGGCUCAGCUGCAAUACUGUUGAAGAAGCUUUUGUUUUGUAUUCUAUUCUAUCCGCUUUUAUUCUGCUUCUUACCGUAAACUGCCCUGAGUUAUACAUAAAGUGAAUAAAUAAAUAAAUAAAUAAGAAACCUGGAAGUUUUAUUAAAGACUAAUUACUAACUAAGAGGAAUUAACUAUACGAAGGAUAACAGUGAUG